AUAAUGAUCUGGACACAUUGGGAAAAAAAUUAAAUCCUCACACCUGUGAAGAAAUUAUUGUAUAUAUAUCUUCUAUGACCAUUUCAAGAAUGAACCAAAUAACUCAUUAAAACUGAUACAGAAAAUUCAUCAAAGAAGAUCUCUCGAACGAAAAAUUAAAAGUUCUGGUGGUAAUGUGUUUGCAACGUCAUGAAGAUUUCUUACAAGCAAACUAAAGAUUUUCACUGACGGGAACGAUGAAAUGUUAUAUGGCUUUGUAAAUUCGACGUCUCGAAGAAA